rnacentral:lncRNA from 1 species
UCAAAAAAGGAGAAAACAACAGAGUAGGUACUGAAAGGGUAGAUGUGCAAGAGACAGCUAAAGUUGAUGUCAGUGACUGCGCUCUUACUGAGAGGUGCUCGUUUCUGAGCGAUGUGAGAAAUGCACUUAUUCAAGAGUGUAAGAAACGCUAGCAGAUGUAAAUUGCAACAGUUAUUAUAUUUAUACUUACAAAUUAAGUUUGAUAGCCAGAGAAUAUACAUGCAUUCACCAAAAUAAACCUGUUCUACUAUGUUCUAUUUGCCAUACACACUGCAGAGGCUCUCUCUCAGUGGGAGUGGGCACUGCAUGGAUCUCUCAUGCCAGAAAGAUGCUCCCUGCAGACAUUCUAUCCCCAUGCCAUUCAAGCAUGAUAUUCCUAGAACUUCAAAGGUCUAUUUUUUUUUCCCCACACCAAAAUCCAAAGAGGAACAGCCUUGAAACUGAGACAGCCCACUGCACUAACAGAGAAAGGGAGGAGAAUAAUGUACUUUAAUUCCCAGUCAGCUGAGGUGAUCGAACUGCCAGUACUCAGCUGCGUACCCCCCUCCUGAUCUUUUCAAUGUCUGCCUGGAAGAUAAGACCAAACCCAAACUCUUCCAUCUGAAGGCUACCACCCCUCCCUCUCGGCAUCCUUUUACCCCCAACAGAUUUGAACUGCACACACCUUUAUUCUUGGAAAGCACACCAAGAACUGCAGUAACCAAGCCUUUGCUGUACUAUAGGGUGACAGUCCUUCAAAGCAGAAAUGAGCUGGAAUUAAGGCUUGGUGCCCUCCUGCCACCCCCAAAGAGCACUGUGCCCCCAGCCCUCUGCAGCUCGCCGGGCUCCAGUUCAGCACGCUGCAUCCCGCCGGCUCCAGCAUUAUGUGAGGAGCGGAUCGAAGAUGCUCAGCCGAGCUUUUGCAAGUGUUCUCCCGUCAGCUCUUCUCUCCUGCUGCUUCAUCACAGUCCAUCAGAAGGCAUUCUCUUUAGAAAGAGCUAGACACUGUUUACCUGCCACAGCAGAUGGAAGCAGCACCACCUGAGGACAAGGACUACAAUUGUGUCCCUUUCUGUUCCUGGUCAUGGAUAACAG